rnacentral:rRNA from 1 species
AGGACGAACGCUGGCGGCGUGCUUAACACAUGCAAGUCGAGCGGAAAGGCCCUUCGGGGUACUCGAGCGGCGAACGGGUGAGUAACACGUGAGUAACCUGCCCUGGACUUUGGGAUAACCCUCGGAAACGGGGGCUAAUACCGGAUACGACACGCUCUCGCAUGGGAUGUGUGUGGAAAGUUUUUUCGGUUGGGAUGGGCUCGCGGACUAUCAGCUUGUUGGUGGGUGAUGGCCUACCAAGGCGACGACGGUUA